AAAUAUGUGAAAUGAAUUAAUAAAGAAAUCAUGAAUUUUAUUUACAAGGAUACGGGCCAGGUAUAUAAGCCCAUUUUUUCUGAAAAAAUAUCAAGCUCUCAAAUGAUUUUUGCUAAGAUCCUUAUUGGGCUGAUAAUUAAACUUGACUAAACCCAAUAUAAACUGACUCCAAAUUCCUUAUGCAAAUAUGCAAAUCUGUGGUAACUGUCCAAAUACAGCAAAUACAUAUUAAAAAAAAGGAAUCAUGGGCCUUUGAAACUUAAAAGAAAAUCACCUAGAAUCUGACAUUUACAAUUUUGGCCAUUUCAAAUACAACACUUGAUAAUUAGUGCCUUCUAAUGUAUACAAAAUCAUUUGCAAUAAUAAACUAAACUAAUACACGGUCUGAUUUAAUCUUCAGCUCCAAACCCUUUUUCUAUCAACUUUAAAUCCUUUCCUUAGCUUUAGAGCUUGCCAAUCUAAUCAAUUAGUGGUCAGAUCUGCAAACUAUAGCUAAAUAAUCAAUAGCAAACAACUCUAACACAAAUCUACAUAUUUCAAAUAAAGUAAACUAUAGUAGAAUUCCUAUUCAUACUACAGCCAAAUCUGCUUGACCUACACAACAUUCUCAACCUUAAAAUCAAAAGGGGCAUUUAGUAACUGAUACCUUCAUACUAUUCAUCACUAACAUAAAAUGUUUCUAAAGUAAGAAAAGGAAAGAAGAAGACAACAUGCCAUUCAAAAUCUAUGUUUCAUCAACUACUGAUGUUGAUAGGCCAUUUCCCUUGUCCAAAUACUCCAACCAUUAUACAAAAUGACAAAACAAAUAAGUAGAAGACAAAACUAAAGCAGAUUUAAAGCUUUAAAUGGGCUAGAAAUUCCAAAAUCAUUGCAAGAAAUAAGCAAUCUAACUUUAUUGAUUCUCGAAUGUUUAAGGAAAUCAACAUUUCAUUCAAGACAAAUCAAUCCAAGCAUACAAAAGAUUAGGAAAAUACCUAGCAAAAAGAAAAAAACACCUUAAAAGAGCAAAGCAAAUUGCAGUUCUUAGCUCCGCUCAACAAAAAUCAGCAAUGAAUAUACCCAAAGUUCUAUUCCACCUUCUGAAAUCCAACCAAGAAGGACCCCAAAACAGUAGAAAACUCAAGAUUUCUUAAGAACCCUUGAAAAAAAUUUCGUUCUCAACCGUUUCCCUUUAUUUUUUUUACUCUUUGUAUGUGACCUAAUCAUUGGCAAGAGGAUCUUUUUAUAGAAGAAAUUUUAGGGCAACCAAAUCAGAUUUGUAAUUUAAAAGUACCCCCUUAACUUCUAAUUUUAUUAACUUACCCCCCCCCCCCCCCCCCCCCCCCGCCAAGGAUUUUCCUUGUCAGCCCUUUUUUAUAGAAGCUUCCCUCAGACCCUAUCUAAUUCAAUCCCCAGUACCCCUGUAUUUGCCCUUUUUAUUUUUACUGUUUUGAAGUUUAAACCAAAUGGUACUGGACUUGGACCAUUUACACCUUUAAGCCCAAUAUUUACUUGGGCUUUCGUACUAACAGAAACCAAGUAUGAACCCCAACCCAAAACCAAACGAACUUAUGCAGAAAUAAACCAAUAUUUAAUUAAACAAAGGCUAAUGAUGCAUCUUUUAAAAAAAUAUACAUUAUGACGGUAAUUAAACCUAAUUAUUGAGACAUUAAUCACCGAUUGGUCAAUUAUGCCUUAGAAAAAAUAAUAAUUAAUUUUUUUUAGACAGAAAUGAACCCACAAUAGAAGUUAUGAAGAAAAACAAACGGGAGGAGAAAUAUACCGGUGGAAUCAACAAAACUUUAAUGCCUUUGAGAAGAACAACAAGAUCUUUAUUCGAACUCGAACGAAAAAAAUCUCGGCCAAUGGCGAGAAUUAUAACAUGAACACUGGUCGGACUCUUGUCCAUGGCCAGUGAUUCAUGCAAUAAUCCUCACCACAUGCCAAAGAUCGGAUGAGGCAAAGGCUCAGAGGAUUUGAGUCAUGAACAGGUUAUUUGCCCCGAAAUCUAGCCAAUCUAUGAGAUAGGACAAACUCAAGAUUAAAACGGCUCUCUUUAUUGAAAAAAUGGGAGAUUUAUGGGGGUUUUAUCACGGAUUGAGGACCAAAUCAAGAAAAUUUGGACAAAAGGUAAAAAGCUUGAAUUUUUAUUUUUGGAUCUCAAAUUCGGAGAAAUUGAGUGAUUUUUUGGAGAAAAUAAUGGCGGGAUAUGGAUGAGGGGAUGAUGGAGUGAGGCGGAGGUUUCUGAGGGAGAUGAGGCUAGGUUUAAUUAUAGUGAAAU
rnacentral:lncRNA from 1 species